GCCGGUGUAGCUCAGUGGUUAGAGCGGCGGUCUCAUAAUCCGCAGGUCGAAGGUUCAAGUCCUUCCGCCGGCACCA
rnacentral:tRNA from 1 species